rnacentral:rRNA from 1 species
GAUGAACGCUGGCGGCGUGCCUAAUACAUGCAAGUCGAGCGAACAGACGAGGAGCUUGCUCCUCUGACGUUAGCGGCGGACGGGUGAGUAACACGUGGAUAACCUACCUAUAAGACUGGGAUAACUUCGGGAAACCGGAGCUAAUACCGGAUAAUAUAUUGAACCGCAUGGUUCAAUAGUAAAAGACGGUUUUUCUGGCACUUAUAGAUGGAUCCGCGCCGCAUUAGCUAGUUGGUAAGGUAACGGCUUACCAAGGCGACGAUGCGUAGCCGACCUGAGAGGGUGAUCGGCCACCCUGGAACUGAGACACAGUCCAGACUCCUACGGGAGGCAGCAGUAGGGAAUCUUCCGCAAUGGGCGAAAGCCUGACGGAGCAACGCCGCGUGAGUGAUGAAGGUCUUCGGAUCGUAAAACUCUGUUAUUAGGGAAGAACAAAUGUGUAAGUAACUAUGCACGUAUUGACGGUACCUAAUCAGAAAGCAACGGCUAACUACGUG